rnacentral:piRNA from 1 species
UGUCAGUUAGCUGUUGGAAGUCUUA